rnacentral:rRNA from 1 species
CACGUAGGGUGCGAGCGUUGUCCGGAAUUAUUGGGCGUAAAGAGCUCGUAGGCGGUUUGUUGCGUCGGCUGUGAAAUCCCGAGGCUCAACCUCGGGUCUGCAGUCGAUACGAGCAAACUAGAGUGUUGCAGGGGAGAGUGGAAUUCCUGGUGUAGCGGUGAAAUGCGCAGAUAUCAGGAGGAACACCGGUGGCGAAGGCGGGUUUCUGGGCAACAACUGACGCUGAGGAGCGAAAGCGUGGGGAGCGAACAGG